rnacentral:lncRNA from 1 species
AAUCUGUAUCUCUGUGCUCAUUAAAUAAUAACUUCCCACUUGCUUUUCUCCAGAUCCUGGCCACUACCACCCCACUUUCUACUGACUUGAGUGCUUAAGCAGAUACCUCAGAGAAAAAGAAUCACGGUCCCAUCUUGGCCUGCAACAAUUCAACAGGAGGACGCCAGAAGCCUCGACUACAGUGUCUUUCCCUUCAAACCUGUGCUCUUCCUUGACACACAGAUUUCAUUUUCCCUGAUGUUUUCUCUGGACCACAAUGUCCUCUCCCUCUCCUUCUACCUUUGUCUGUGAUGCUUUAAAGGAGAACAUUUUGGAACUUUCUUGAAACAUUUGACCUCUCUGGAGCUCAAGUAGUCUUUGCCUAUACAACUGGGCAAACUUCUUUAUUUCUAAGAACAAAGGCUCAUUAAAAGAAAAAAGUCUUUAAAGUCUCCUUGGACAUCAAAUAAUUCUACAGAGGAAAUGCUUUGAUGAGGACAAUGCAAAUGAAGACAAGAAGCAUAUAUGUAUUAGGAUAUUUAAAGAAAUCAUAACAGUUUGGAACCCCUGAUGACAGAAGCCCUACGGGAACAGAUCUGGGCCCUGGAGAUGAGAACUGUGCAGGAUGAGGAAGAGGGAAAGGCAUCUGACUGAACAGACAGUGACUCCCAAUGCACAAGGAACAGACGGUCAUCCUUACAACGAACCAGAAGCUGCACAACAGGCUGAACAUUUGGGAGUGACUUUCCUUGGGUCAAGGGCCACUGCUGUCUAGCUUGUGAAAUAAGCCAGAGCAGACUCACAACGAUCCAGGACAACUUUGAGGCUGUUUUUCCUGCUUGCAGUAGCAGUGUGAUCCCUGAACAGAAUUUCCACCAAGAGAGAAGAGAAGGGCAAAGCUCUAUGACUUCUCCAGAUUGUAAAUCACAUUACUGCAGGCAGAGGGAGCGAAGUGGACAGGAUUCCCAGAGAGAGGCUCCCUUCUGUUCACUCUGUGAAGGCUGGGAAAUUCACCAUUUACCUCCAAACAUUCUAGACUAAAUUUCAAAAGGCUCAUGGAACACUAUGGCAAAGUUUAGAGCUGUGGCCUGCCAUAGCCUCUUGGGGUGGACCAGUGGACAUGUGUGGCUGGCUGAGAAAGCAAGUCUGUGGGUGGCUCUUAACUCAAGUGUUCACCCAGAGCAAUAACGUGACUUUGGACUUAGAAUGCCGGUUCCUUCUUCUGGAAGAAUGGCUUUCGUGGUUGCUUGAAUGCUUCGGUGGGCUGUCUUCAGAACCUGCCCAAAGAAAGCCAACACAUUAUCACCAGGGGCCUCUGGGCUUUGUGGCUGACUCCUGGGAUCUGCCAUGCUUCUCAGCUAAAAUCCAAUUCUUACUUGAUGUCCCUCUAGUGGCCCCAUUAAUAAAUUAAGGCCAGGGGAAU